GCCAAUGUGGUGUAGUGGUUUGAGCACUGGAUUAUGACUCUAGAGACCAGGGUUUGAUUCCCCUCUUGGCCA